GUGGGUAGUCCGCACGAGCGCACCUUAUUUUAGUUGCUACCAUUUAGUUGGGCACUCUAAAAGAACUGCCAGUGAUAAGCUGGAGGAAGGUGGGGAUGACGUCAAGUCCUCAUGGCCCUUACGUGUUGGGCUACACACGUGCUACAAUGGUACUCACAGAGAGAAGCGAAGAGGCGACUCCAAGCUAAUCCCAAAAAAGUACCUCAGUUCGGAUUGCACUCUGCAACUCGAGUGCAUGAAGCUGGAAUUACUAGUAAUCGCGGAUCAGCGCGCCGCGGUGAAUACGUUCCCGGGUCUUGUACACACCGCCCGUCACACCAUGGAAGUUGGUUACACCUUAAGGCAAAGUAUAAAACCUUUGACUACGGUACGAUCAGCGACUGGGGUGAAGUCGUAACAAGGUAGCCGUAGGGGAACCUGCGGCUGGAUCACCUCCUUUCU
rnacentral:rRNA from 1 species